rnacentral:lncRNA from 1 species
AAAAAUAGUAACCUUACAAUCUACAAAUAUUUUUUAGAGCUCGAUAAUGAAAAAUUCAACAGAUAGACAUGAAAUCUAUUUUGUUCAAAAAUCACGUAUACCUCAUGACAAUGUAGUUACAUAUUUGAGAAGAAUCAGAUGAUAGAACAAAACUUAAGUAUCCUCUAGCUUUUAGAGAAAUUAUAACACUCUCCAGGCAAGGACCAAAAUAUUGCUCAUCAUACUUCACACUCGGUGGGUGUUCAAUUGUUCAUGAGAUGCAUAGGCCAAAUGUUGUUCACCAACCUGAAAAAAGUCAGUCAUAAUUAAGCAUAAACCCUUCCAUUUGUUCAAACUCAAAAUAGAUAAGAUAAUCUUAAAACAGGAAAAGUAAAACAGUUAAGAUCCUGCUUAUUUCUGGAAUCAACAUGACAACACAAAUUCUGCAUAUAUUCAUAGUAAGAUAGUUAGGUUCAAACCUCUACAUGGCUCUACUGCUAUCUUAAGAAAG